rnacentral:rRNA from 1 species
GUCUACGGUCAUACCACCUUGAAUGUGCCCGAUCUUGUCUGAUCUCAGAAGCUAAGCAGGCUUGGGCCUGGUUAGUACUUAGUACCUGGAUGGGAGACUGUCUGGGAUUACCAGUUGCUGUACGAUU